rnacentral:rRNA from 1 species
AUUGAACGCUGGCGGCAGGCUUAACACAUGCAAGUCGAGCGGGGUGAUGGUGCUUGCACUAUCACUUAGCGGCGGACGGGUGAGUAAUGCUUAGGAAUCUGCCUAUUAGUGGGGGACAACAUCUCGAAAGGGAUGCUAAUACCGCAUACGUCCUACGGGAGAAAGCAGGGGAUCACUUGUGACCUUGCGCUAAUCGAUGAGCCUAAGUCGGUUUAGCUAGUUGGUGGGGUAAAGGCCUACCAAGGCGACGAUCUGUAGCGGGUCUGAGAGGAUGAUCCGCCACACUUGGACUGAGACACGGCCCAGACUCCUACGGGAGGCAGCAGUGGGGAAUAUUGGACAAUGGGGGGAACCCUGAUCCAGCCAUGCCGCGUGUGUGAAGAAGGCCUUAUGGUUGUAAAGCACUUUAAGCGAGGAGGAGGCUCUUUUGGUUAAUACCCAAGAUGAGUGGACGUUACUCGCAGAAUAAGCACCGGCUAACUCUGUGCCAGCAGCCGCCGUAA